UUUUCACUCACUCUUCUCAUACGAUCACAACGUAACUGAAGCAGAAAUCGUCUAUUGCGAGAACCUUUUCAACUCCUCUGCUUCUGCUCUUCUCUGUCUCGCGGUUGUCUCUCCCAGGAUACAAUACCUUAACAGAGAAGAUAUUCGUUUCGAUCUCGAACCAGAAAUAGAUCACUUUGUUUAUCGUUUAUUGAAGCUAGUCCGGAUAUUGGAGAGGAAGUCGCUGUUGUCAUCGGAGCUGGAAUCGCAGGUCUCGUUACCUCAUUGUCUGUUCACAAGCUCUGCAGGAUGGUGGUAAAAUCAGAAGAUGGGAGGAAGCUGCUGCGUUCCUUCAAGUUCAAGGAGGAAGCUGAAAGCCAAGAAGUCCCUGCUGUGGAAAGGAAUAUACAUUUGGAGUCUAUUGCCAAUCAGUUGCUAUCAGAUUCAACCUUUUUUUCUUCCAAGCUGGCAAAGAUUGAAAAGAGUGGAACAGGUCUAAGGAUCAGUGACCUAUCUAUUUUGAAGAGCUUCUUCGAGAUGAUCGAAGGCUGGCCUUCAGAGUUGCUAAAUGUUAUUGACAUGAGCGUCGAGGACACCUUCCGUAGUUGCAUUGGAUGCCUCUCUAGAACUGGUAGCUGUGGCCAACUGUGAGCCCUUAAGCAUCAGCUGGUGGAGUUGUGCUUGCAAGUGAUGCAUCACGCCCUAUGACUUCGAAGCUUGGGCAAGGAGCUUGUUGCACCUGCCGUAUGCCAUGGUUCUAUUAACAGAGAUUGCAGGUGCACUUAAAGUUCUACAUCUCAUACAGCACAGAGAGAUGGGCCCGUGUCUUUCCAUUGAAAUUCUUGCAAACCUUGUUAGAGCACUACUUGUACAGUGGGAGCUUCUCCGUUAGUUUUCUGAUUUUGAGAUUAGCAUUGUUGUGCCUAAACUAGUCAGGUUGCACCCAUUGUUGCAGCAAACAGAUUUCAAAUUUGAGCCUUUGAACUAGGCAGAUGAGAGUCAGAUUCUGAUUAUGGACUAUGUUGCUGGGGAAGAUCUAUGACAGUGGUCACACAGCUCAAAUGCCACUCAACCAAAGGCCAUCCAUCUCUUUUCCUUCUUCAGAAAGGGGAGAAGGUGAAGGUAACAGCCAGGGUACCCGAACUUGAGACCUCCUGGUGAGUGUGGACUUAACUCACCCCAACAUUGUUAACAGACAGGAACUAGCUUGCUCUUCUGUACACCUUAAUGUUGUAAGUAGA